rnacentral:rRNA from 1 species
CGCAAUGGGCGAAAGCCUGACGGAGCAAUACCGCGUGAGGGAGGAAGGCUCUUGGGUCGUAAACCUCUUUUCUCAGGGAAGAAGAAAGUGACGGUACCUGAGGAAUAAGCAUCGGCUAACUCCGUGCCAGCAGCCGCGGUAAUACGGAGGAUGCAAGCGUUAUCCGGAAUGAUUGGGCGUAAAGGGUCCGCAGGUGGCUAUGUAAGUCUGCUGUUAAAGAGUUUGGCUCAACCAGAUAAGAGCAGUGGAAACUACAUAGCUAGAGUGCGUUCGGGGCAGAGGGAAUUCCUGGUGUAGCGGUGAAAUGCGUAGAUAUCAGGAAGAACACCGGUGGCGAAAGCGCUCUGCUAGGCCGCAACUGACACUGAGGGACSAAAGCUAGGGGAGCGAAUGGGAUUAGAUACCCCAGUAGUCCUAGCCGUAAACGAUGGAUACUAGGCGUGGCUUGUAUCGACCCGAGCCGUGCCGUAGCUAACGCGUUAAGUAUCCCGCCUGGGGAGUACGCAGGCAACUGUGAAACUCAAAGGAAUUGACGGGGGCCCGCACAAGCGGUGGAGUAUGUGGUUUAAUUCGAUGCAACGCGAAGAACCUUACCAAGACUUGACAUGUCGUGAAUCUCUUUGAAAGGAGAGAGUGCCUUCGGGAGCGCGAACACAGGUGGUGCAUGGCUGUCGUCAGCUCGUGUCGUGAGAUGUUGGGUUAAGUCCCGCAACGAGCGCAACCCUCGUUUUUAGUUGCCAGCAUUAAGUUGGGCACUCUAGAGAGACUGCCGGUGACAAACCGGAGGAAGGUGAGGAUGACGUCAAGUCAGCAUGCCCCUUACGUCUUGGGCUACACACGUACUACAAUGCUACGGACAAAGGGCAGCUACACAGCGAUGUGAUGCUAAUCUCAUAAACCGUAGCUCAGUUCAGAUCGCAGGCUGCAACUCGCCUGCGUGAAGGAGGAAUCGCUAGUAAUUGCAGGUCAGCAUACUGCAGUGAAUUCGUUCCCGGGCCUUGUACACACCGCCCGUCACACCAUGGAAGUUGGUCACGCCCGAAGUCAUUACCCCAACCUUUUGGAGGGGGAUGCCUAAGUAGGACUGGUGACUGGGGGUGAAGUCGUAACAG